AUUGAACGCUGGCGGCAGGCCUAACACAUGCAAAUCGAGCGGAUGAAGGGAGCUUGCUCCUGGAUUCAGCGGCGGACGGGUGAGUAAUGCCUAGGAAUCUGCCUGGUAGUGGGGGAUAACGUCCGGAAACGGGCGCUAAUACCGCAUACGUCCUGAGGGAGAAAGUGGGGGAUCUUCGGACCUCACGCUAUCAGAUGAGCCCAGGUCGGAUUAGCUAGUUGGUGGGGUAAAGGCCUACCAAGGCGACGAUCCGUAACUGGUCUGAGAGGAUGAUCAGUCACACUGGAACUGAGACACGGUCCAGACUCCUACGGGAGGCAGCAGUGGGGAAUAUUGGACAAUGGGCGAAAGCCUGAUCCAGCCAUGCCGCGUGUGUGAAGAAGGUCUUCGGAUUGUAAAGCACUUUAAGUUGGGAGGAAGGGCAGUAAGUUAAUACCUUGCUGUUUUGACGUUACCAACAGAAUAAGCACCGGCUAACUUCGUG
rnacentral:rRNA from 1 species